rnacentral:rRNA from 1 species
UGGGGAAUUUUCCGCAAUGGGCGAAAGCUUGACGGAGCAACGCCGCGUGAGGGAGGAAGGCUCUUGGGUUGUAAACCUCUUUUCUCAAGGAAGAUAAUGACGGUACUUGAGGAAUCAGCAUCGGCUAACUCUGUGCCAGCAGCCGCGGUAAUACGGAGGAUGCAAGCGUUAUCCGGAAUAAUUGGGCGUAAAGCGUUCGUAGGUGGUUUUGUAAGUCUGCUGUUAAAGCGUGUAGCUCAACUACAUAAUGGCAGUGGAAACUACAAGACUUGAGUGCGUUCGGGGUAGAGGGAAUUCCUGGUGUAGCGGUGAAAUGCGUAGAUAUUGGGAAGAACACCAGUGGCGAAGGCGCUCUACUGGGCCGAGACUGACGCUGAUGGACGAAAGCUAGGGGAGCGAAAGGGAUUAGAUACCCCCGUAGUCC